UUGGGCGCUGCCUUUGUUUUUCUCCACCAGUUGGGCCACAUGGCGUCAGGCGAUUGGUUGAGAGAGGAAAGGGAAGAAAUAUCUGUCGAAAGCAGGGAGAAAAAGGCACUGAGUCUCCUCCUCCCCCGAUUUCUUCCUCAACCCUAGCCUCCAUGGCCCCGACACCCUCCUCCCCCAAUUUCUUCCUCUCCCGAGGCUCAGCCUCCAUGCUCUCCUUGUCUCGGUUGCAGCGCGCCGCCGCGCGGUGGGAGGAGCGGCUGGGCAGUAGCACGUCGCCAUUCCCAUCGUCUUUGGCAAAGGAGGCCAGCUGCAGACGGAUGUUCCGCGGUUGGGUGGGUCCUCCAGCUCGUGCUGCUCCGCGCGAGCAGCAGCAGCAGCGCUGGUGGAUGAUGCGGGAGAUCUCCAAGGAGCCAGGACUCCCAGCUCCUUCGAUUUCGUCGAAGUCACCGCGGUACUCCCUUAUCCACCUUCCUCCCGCGUCCUCUCUCGAUGAUGCCGGCCAGCAGCACAACGACCUACCGCCCUGUCCUCUUCUUCGUUGGAGAUCUACAGGUUCUCUCUCUCUGCAGUUUCCAUCAAUCCACCCCAGCUAGAUCCAUUGUCCUAAAACAAGGCGUUGACUGGCCAGGUGCUGCUGAUUCUUAUUAUUUGAUCAAGCUCAGCCUCCUCUGCUCCCUCUUCAUCUUGCACGGUGCCUCAUAGGUGUCUGCCCAGUUUUAUGAUAUAGCUCCUGGUGGAUGGCCUUCUCAGUCCACCGGUUGCGACAUCUUCAGCAUCAGAUACCGUGUCGUUGGCUGUUGUGCUCAACACCCACAUGUUGGCCCUUCGCUCAGAUCUGAAGUGAUGAAAGGUUUGAAUUUUUCAAGAUGUGAGAUGACACAGCAGGAGAUUAAAGAUCCCAAGUCUUCACUUAACAGGGUAGCAUCGCGGAUCUGGUUGAGGGCAGCUGCUGCAUGCCGGCCACCAGGAAGUGCCGCCAAGUUCCUUGCGCCGGUGGCUGUGAGAUGCAACAGCUUCCUCCUUCCCAUCAUCCUUCUCCGCCGCAGCAGUCCCUGACCAGCAAUUGAAGGCGCUCUUUGGCUCAUCAAUGAGAACUUGAGAAGCACCAAAGAUCAUACAUGCAGGACAGCUCUCUUGAACUCCAGAUGCUGGUGUUCUCAAAUCAGUGCUAAACUGGUAGUGUUGAUUCAGCCUGAGAUGGAAAUUGUAUCAUUCCACUGCAUCUUGCAUCUCAGUUUUGAUCCAUUAUGACUUUCUUUUCUGAAAUAUCCUUUUCAGAUUGCAAAAUCAGUAUAUUUCUGGCCCAUCUGUAGUAACAACUGCACAUCUUGUGUGCAAAUCAUUACUAACUAUAUUCAUCAUUAUGUGGAGUAUAAUCUGAUAGACUAUCAAAGCUAGCAGAAUGGCUGAUAGACUGUCGAAGCUAGCAGAAUAGCAGAAUGGUUGACAACCUUUGCACAAUUAUGAUUAUUUUCUUUUUGAUGAAACAAGGAUUAAUCUUAUAUGUGAAAUUAGAAGAGUAGUGUUGUUAACAUUCUAUGUGAAAGUAAGGGGUUCAAGGGUAUCUUAGACGUGAGACCCGCCGCCAAUCGACUAUGUAGCUUUACCGAUCAGUUCUUGAGUGGUUGAAAAAUGGAAUAAUUUUUCAUGAUGCUAGAUAUUUCCUUCUGAUUUAACAAUAUGGUCAAGCGGUGGUAGUCAUUGUUCUCUAUUACUAGCCUGUAUUUCUUGUCUCAGUUGUCUUCAUUACCAAUUGUCAUUUAUAGAUAUUGAAGAAACCAAUCUGGCUGCUCACUUAUAUUUUAGAAUCCAUAUUAUCUAUUCUGGGAAUGGUUCUGUGUCCAUCUCCUGUAGAUUAAUCACCUGAUAAGAAGCACCUACGAGAUAAAAUUAUGCUGUGAGAAUGCUAUGGUAUUUACCUAUUUUUUCUCGGGUAGUAGUUACAUAUUAUGUAACACAAAUAGUAUAGGUAGAAGAGGGUUUGGAAUUACAACUGUGAGUUAAGUGUUCUUUCUAGCUUUAGCGUGCUGGGAGUCCCCACUCUCAAGUUAUAGGACCAGUGACAUACAUGUGGCAUCAUUCUCAUGAAAGAGUAGAAAUCAGAUGCAAAAGAACGAGAUUUUUCCAAUUCCCAUACAGUUGUUUGUAAGGCCAAUUAUGGAUAUGGAUCCAUCUUUGUGGCUUGGAUGAAAUUCAGGGUUGAAGCCUGAAGAGGAGCCUUUCAUUUUCUUGAUCCAUAUAGGCUUAUAAGCUGGAAAUUUCUUUAAUUGGAGUUUAGGUGAUUUGUUGGGUUCUGAUCAAUGGCAUUUAAUCCUUAGAGGUUAAUGUUUUAGCACUGAGGGCAUAAUUCUUGAUGCAGUGUUUGGGAUACCUGAAACAUAAUGUGCAGAAGCGGGGGCUCGACUUGCCCAUCCUGCAUGGCAAGUCUGAAGAAAUCAUCCCUUCAAUUGCAAAGGCUCUAGGUGUACAUGCGGAGUGCCUGCACGGCUGCACGGCCACACUUCCUGAUGUUAGAAACAGUAACCAUAUGGUUUCAAUGUGGAGUCACGCCGCCCUCUCUCGCUAUCAUCCAUCCCCACUUUAACCAGCCAAUACUGCUGGUGGAUCGUACCUUGCAGCCACUGGGGAAGAAUGGGAAAUUUAAUUGUUUUAUACAUAUAUAUGGUUAGAUACAGACUUUGAUAUUCCUCCAUUCAUUUUUUUUAUGUAAGCUUGUAAAGAAGCUAAACAUGAUCUCUCUGAAAUUAUGUUCUGAACAGAGAAGAUACCUUUGGUUCCUAUUUUUUGUGGGGACCCAUAUUCUGUUAUUUAUAGCAUCCUUUGAACACUA